GGGCAUGUGCAGGAUGGAAGACGAUGAGAUGUGGUAGUGAGGGCAUCUUCAACAGGGGCAUUAUACGGGUACCAAUAAGUUAGUAGCCAAUGGGGAGAAGAGAUGAGAAUCACAAUUAAAUAGUGGUUUCUUGAAGAAGUAACAUGUACUACACGGAUACCAAGACAGAAAAAAGGAUGACAUGUGAAUUUAUAAAAAAAAAGAAACGAGUAAAAAAAAAAAAACUUCUUAAAAGGAGGAAAGAAACAAUUUAGUAUGAACCACCAU
rnacentral:lncRNA from 1 species